rnacentral:ncRNA from 1 species
UUAUUUAUAUUGAUAAUAAGCCCCAUUUAAUAUAUAUUAAAUGAAAAUCGGAUAAAUUGCAAGAAAAACUGUAAAAUAUGUAGUCAAUUUGCAGCCAAGCGUGAAAUAGUGUUAAAUUAAUAAAAGUUUCAUUAAGGUUCAACGACUAACAGGUGAGUAACACAAACAAUAAACCUGACAAGAACAUCCGACAUUCUUCUAUAUUAAAAAAUAAGAAUGAUGACAUAGUCUGAACAAUAACGUGAGUUAUUG